UACGAAGGGGGCUAGCGUUGUUCGGAAUCACUGGGCGUAAAGGGCGCGUAGGCGGCUUUGUAAGUCGGGGGUGAAAGCCUGUGGCUCAACCACAGAAUUGCCUUCGAUACUGCAUGGCUUGAGACCGGAAGAGGUAAGUGGAACUGCGAGUGUAGAGGUGAAAUUCGUAGAUAUUCGCAAGAACACCAGUGGCGAAGGCGGCUCACUGGCCCGGUACUGACGCUGAGGCACGAAAGCGUGGGGAGCAAACGGG
rnacentral:rRNA from 1 species